UGUGAUAUGAUUACUGAACACAAUGGUUAAUAUAAUUAUCACAGGCAGAGAAAUACAGUAUUAUAAAACAUAUCACAGGGAACCCAAAACAUGCAAUAACCCCAUAAAAAUAUAUAAAAAAAAGUAUAUCCUCGGAACCGGGGGAUCUGGAUGAACCACAUAUCCAAAAUUCACCCAGAUCCGUUCUGUAGUUUGGAAGUUACAGUUUAAUGCAGAUUCCCCUGAACAUAUACAGGCUAGAUGAAAAAUAAUUACUGUUAAAUGUGUCCCCUGUUGUAUAGUUUAAAACUACUGAACGAUGUCUUUGUGCACCAAAUACCGGCGAGAUGGCACCGUGUAGAAAAGUCCAAACAGUGUCUGUGAGUUAAAAUGGCCGCCAUCCAUUGUUCUCAUCAUGUG